rnacentral:rRNA from 1 species
ACGGAGGGUGCAAGCGUUAUUCGGAAUUACUGGGCGUAAAGGGCGUGCAGGCGGGAGAGCAAGUCUGAUGUGAAAGCCCGGGGCUUAACCCCGGAAGGGCAUUGGAAACUGCUUUUCUUGAGUUCUGGAGAGGAAGGGAGAAUUCCCGGUUUUGGGGGGAAAUUCGGUAAGGUUGGGAGGAACAAGCGGGGGGAAGGGGGCCUUUUGGACAAGCACUGGCGGUGGGGACGCAAAGGGGUGGGAGCAAACAG